rnacentral:rRNA from 1 species
AACGAACGCUGGCGGCAUGCCUAACACAUGCAAGUCGAACGAGAUCCUUCGGGGUCUAGUGGCGGACGGGUGAGUAACGCGUGGGGACCUGCCCAGGGGUACGGAAUAACUACGGGAAACUGUAGCUAAUACCGUAUGAUGCCGAAAGGCCAAAGAUUUAUCGCCCUUGGAUGGACCCGCGUUGGAUCAGCUAGUUGGUGAGGUAAUGGCUCACCAAGGCGACGAUCCAUAGCUGGUUUGAGAAGAUGAUCAGCCACACUGGGACUGAGACACGGCCCAGACUCCUACGGGAGGCAGCAGUGGGGAAUAUUGGACAAUGGGGGCAACCCUGAUCCAGCAAUGCCGCGUGAGUGAAGAAGGCCUUAGGGUUGUAAAGAUCUUUCAGUGGGGAAGAUAAUGACGGUACCCACAGAAGAAGCCCCGGCUAAACUCCGUGCCAGCAGCCGCGGUAAU